rnacentral:tRNA from 1 species
GAUCCUAGUAGCGCGUCUGACUCCAGAUCAGAAGGCUGCGUGUUCGAGUCACGCCGGGUUCA